rnacentral:rRNA from 1 species
AGUGAACGCUGGCGGCAGGCUUAACACAUGCAAGUCGAACGCACCGCAAGGUGAGUGGCAGACGGGUGAGUAACGCGUGGGAACCUUCCCUUUGGUUCAGGAUAGCUCCGGGAAACUGGAAUUAAUACUGGAUAAGAUCUACGGAUGAAAGAUUUAUCGCCGAAGGAUGGGCCCGCGUAAGAUUAGCUAGUUGGUGAGGUAAUGGCUCACCAAGGCAAUGAUCUUUAGCUGGUCUGAGAGGAUGAUCAGCCACACUGGAACUGAGACACGGUCCAGACUCCUACGGGAGGCAGCAGUGAGGAAUAUUGGACAAUGGGCGCAAGCCUGAUCCAGCCAUGCCGCGUGAGUGAUGAAGGCCCUAGGGUUGUAAAACUCUUUUAGUGGGGAAAAUAAUGAUGGUACCCACAGAAAAAGCUCCGGCUAACUUCGUGCCAGCCGCCGCCGUAA